UUGCCUCAUAUUGAAUUUGCUUAUAAUCGUUCAUUGCAUUCUACUACUAAGAUGUGCCCUUUUGAAGUUGUGUAUGGUUUCCUACCUCGUGCACCUAUUGAUUUGUUGCCUCUUCCAUCUUCGGAGAAGGUUAAUUUUGAUGCUAAACAACGUGCUGAAUUGAUUUUAAAAAUGCAUGAGUUAACUAAGAAAAACAUUGAGCGUAUGAAUGCUAAAUAUAAACUUGCUGGAGAUAAGGGUAGAAAACAUGUUGUGUUUGCACCUGGAGAUCUUGUUUGGUUACAUUUGCGUAAGGAUAGAUUUCCUGAUUUGCGCAAAUCAAAGCUAAUGCCACGUGCUGAUGGUCCCUUUAAGGUGUUAGAGAAAAUAAAUGAUAAUGCAUAUAAACUUGAGCUGCCUGCAGAUUUUGGGGUUAGUCCCACUUUUAACAUUGCAGAUUUGAAGCCUUAUUUGGGUGAGGAAGAUGAGCUUCCGUCGAGGACG
rnacentral:rRNA from 1 species